ensembl:snRNA U6 U6 spliceosomal RNA
GUGAUUCAUUUGGCAGCACAUAUCCUAAAAUUGCAACAAUACAGAGAAGAUUAGCAUGGCCCCUGCACAAGGAUGACAUGCAAAUUUGUGAAGUGUUCCAUAUUUAA